GAAGGCCUAAGGAAGAGAAUACAGUACACAGAAUCUGAAAAAGGCACAGCAGGUCUAGGAAAAUUGGGGGGGGGGGAGUACAUCUAGAAAAGCAGGGUUAGAAGCCUAAGUGGUCUAGAGGAAGGGAAGAGGAGAAGGCCAGAUGAAGGAAUCUGCAAGGGAAGGACAAGAUGGGAGAGAGAACAGACAGUUUCUAGCUCUCAAGCUUGCUGAAUAGAGCCUACUAAAGUUUCAGAAACCAGAUGGAGUUUGACAAAAAUCUAAGUGAUCUGCACAUCAAGCUCCACAAUGAAGCAAGGAAGGGAGUUUAUAGCCGACUCACCACCAUAUAUUCUGAAUAUUAAAAACCUUCACGCUGCCUACAGAAAGUCACUUCUAAUCUGGAUGCCACUUGCAACCAGACCCUGGCAAGCAACAUGCCGCAAGCAACCGGACCCUGGCUACCCCGCAAGAGGAGCAUCAAAUCCAUCCCUAACCCCAACAGCUACAGGAAAGUAAAAGCAAAUAAAUAUAACAAAUGACUAUCAGUCAGCUUGCCGGUCCCUGAAGCCAAGGUCAUUAGGCAGAUUAAAGUUCCCCAGCUUUGGCCAGCGGCACAGUUAGCAAAGUGCAGUUAAAAUGCCCAAAUUGGAUUACUACUUCUCCUCAGUCUCAGUGCCAACUUGGCCAGCAGAUUGGAUAUGUGUGAGAUAGCAAAAGGAGGUGGGGGCCAAGGGAGAGCCCGCAGGCUGCUCUGCAAGCUGUCGGCUUUCACAAGGCAGACUACUACAGCAGCUAAAGAGAAGCACGAGGACUACAAUGACUGGCAUUAGCUCUCCCAGGUCUCAGAGAGGUGUCUUUCCCAACCCUCCCUGGAGAUAUCAGGGGUUGAACUUAGGGCCUUCUGCAUGAAAAGCACAUGUUCUACCCCUUGCCCAUGGUCCUUUCCAU